AACCCUACCCAUUUCGCCUCUGUUUUUCUCGCGUGAGACAGAGCGGGCGGUGAUUAACUGCGCCGGCGUUUUCGCGCCGCCGCGGGUGCCUUCGCCGGGUGGGUGCCUUCGCCGGCGAGCGCGUGCAGCCAAGGGCUUUGUGCGAUGCCUUGCGCGCGGCCUGGAGUGAAGCUGUGCUGCGCGCACGCGUUGGUGGUGGCGAGUCGGCUAUCUUGUCGGUGUAGAAGCCUCCAUUAGUCCCGGCGAGGCACAUCACGGGCAAACAUAACAUGGACCAAUACAGAAUGGAGUGAAUAUCUCCAAUCAUCACAUGGACAUUGUUGCAAUGCAGGGGAUGUCAGGAUGUCCAAUUGUGAAUGCAGGAGGCGCCAUUGGCAUGCUAAUCACUGGUCAGGGGGCGUACAGUAAUGCAGCCUCCAAUGACACAAUCUGCAGGUGAUGAAGCAAUACUACAGGAUCAGCCUGGGUUAGGCUAGACCCACUCUCAGCGACGCGGAGUUAGAUGCAACUGUCAAUCCCAUGACCAUAGAGGAGGUUGCUGCUUGAUGUGGACAUCCCUGCAAUAGAUACAACCACACCUAAUGGACAGCAAGCUUAUAUGACUAGUGACCAAGCUUACAUGCUUAAUUCUCAGGUAAAUUCAUUCUUAUGUUCUUGUCCAUUAUAUUUAGACAAUGGAAACGUGUGUGCUCUUGUUUUUCUUAGGAAUGAUGGAGAGGAUAAGAAUGGAAGGUCAUCUGCAUGGACUGAAUUCGACCACGACAUCAUUUGCGGAGCAAACAGAGCUGCUCAUUCUGUUUCCGACCUUUCGUGUAGCAACAAUGGAGGAGCGGCGAAUGGACCUCUUUAUUCCGUUUUGGACCUUUCGCGUAGCAGAAAUAGAGGAGGAGCGGACGGAGCUGUUCAUCCCGUUUCGGACGUCCCACACAGCAGAAGUUUCCAUCGAGCAUAACUCUUCACUUCGGAAGGUUGAUUGAGGUAAAUGAGUACUCGUUGAGAAGCUCUUGAGGUCUACUUUCAGAUGGAUCAAACCUCAUCAUCAGAUUCAUCCGGAGCUAAGAUUAAUCGCCAAAAUGACAGUCAGACUUCCAGACAUGGGCUGAGUCACUUGUACCUCCCACUAGGGGCCCAUUUUAAGUUAGGGUUUUGAUCUCAGCACCCCCUGGCAGCUCUCCCACCUAUAUAAACAAGUAGCAGCCACCAGAAAACACUUGGGUUCUGUUUUGUUGUAAGUUUAGCUUCUGCUACUUCCUGGUGAGCGCGUGUGUCGAUUAGACCACCCGUUUGCUUGAUUCAGAACCCCAAACUUGUGUGUAUCAGAUUCAUCCUUUGGGCAAGAUCUGUGUGCUGUUUGCUUGUCUA